rnacentral:rRNA from 1 species
UUGGUGCCAGCAGCCGCGGUAAGACGGAGGAUGCAAGCGUUAUCCGGAAUUAUUGGGCGUAAAGCGUCUGCAGGUGGCCAAUCAAGUCUGCUGUUAAAUAUCGGGGCUCAACUCCGAAUCGGCAGUGGAAACUGAUUAGCUAGAGUGCGGUAGGGGUAGAGGGAAUUCCCAGUGUAGCGGUGAAAUGCGUAGAUAUUGGGAAGAACACCAGUGGCGAAGGCGCUCUACUGGGCCGCAACUGACACUGAGGGACGAAAGCUAGGGGAGCGAAUGGGAUUAGAUACCCCAGUAGUCCUAGCUGUAAACGAUGGAUACUAGGUGUUGGCCGUGUCGACCCGGCCAGUAUCGUAGCUAACGCGUUAAGUAUCCCGCCUGGGGAGUACGCACGCAAGUGUGAAACUCAAAGGAAUUGACGGGGGCCCGCACAAGCGGUGGAGUAUGUGGUUUAAUUCGAUGCAACGCGAAGAACCUUACCAGGGUUUGACAUGCCGCGAAUCUAGGGGAGACCUUAGAGUGCCUUCGGGAGCGCGGACACAGGUGGUGCAUGGCCGUUCUU